UUAAAGCUAGCCUGUCCACCUACCUUAAACCCAACAUUAUUACUCUACCUAACUCGUAAGCUCCUAACUAAAACAUUUUAUCUUUUUAGUAUGGGCGACAGAACAAAAACUCAGCGCAAUAGACUAUGUACCGCAAGGGAGAGCUGAAAGAGAAAUGAAACAAAUAAUUAAAGUAAGAAAAAGCAGAGAUUCUACCUCGUACCUUUUGCAUCAUGAUUUAGCUAGAAAAACUAGACAAAGAGAUCUUUAGCCUACCUUCCCGAAACUAAACGAGCUACUCCGAAGCAGCACAACUUAGAGCCAACCCGUCUCUGUGGCAAAAGAGUGGGAAGACUUCCGAGUAGCGGUGACAAGCCUAUCGAGUUUAGUGAUAGCUGGUUGUCCAAGAAAAGAACUUCAAUUCUGCACUAAUUCUUUCAUCACCAAAAAGUCUACCAUACCAGGGCUAAAAAUAUAAGAAUUAGUAGUUAUUCAGAAGAGGUACAGCCCUUCUGAAUCAAGAUACAACUUUCAAAGGAGGGAAAUGAUCAUAUUUACCAAGGUUCUCACCUCAGUGGGCCCAAAAGCAGCCACCUGUAAAGUAAGCGUCACAGCUCCAGUCUCACAAAAACCUAUAAUUUAGAUAAUCUUCUCAGCACCCCCUUAACUUUAUUGGACUAUUUUAUAAACUUAUAAAAGAAAUUAUGCUAAAAUGAGUAAUAGGAGGACAAACCUCUCCCCGACACAAGUGUAUGUCAGAAAGAAUUAAUUCACUGACAAUUAUACGAACCCAGACUGAGGUUAUUAUACCUUAUUUUACCUUAACUAGAAAAUCUUAUUAUAACAUUCGUUAACCCUACACAGGAGUGUCUUAAGGAAAGA
rnacentral:rRNA from 1 species